rnacentral:rRNA from 1 species
UACGUAGGUGGCAAGCGUUGUCCGGAAUCAUUGGGCGUAAAGCGCGUGUAGGCGGCUCGAUAAGUCUGCUGUGAAAGUUCAGGGCUCAACCCUGAAAUGCCGGUGGAAACUGUCGAGCUAGAGUCCGGAAGAGGCGAGUGGAAUUCCUGGUGUAGCGGUGAAAUGCGCAGAUAUCAGGAGGAACACCAAUGGCGAAGGCAGCUCGCUGGGACGGUACUGACGCUGAGACGCGAAAGCGUGGGGAGCAAACAGG